UGCUUCUAGUUGUGCUCCCAGAGAUACAUGCCAUAAAAUGACCUCAGGGUUUGUUAAUGUUUCCUACAGCAGACAUAAUAUGCAUGAAAAUGAACGCCCAACCUUACUUUAAGUGAAAGUAAUUUAGGUAUAUUUUACUAAAAUUUUGCAGACGUAUGUUAAAAUCUAGCAUAAAUGUUUCUGCCAAAUAGAGAAAAAGUGUUGCUGUGAUUAUAAAGGCUGAACAUGAAAUAAGCUGAAAAACUGCUUAUUUCCCCUGGCUGAGAACUGUAGUAUCUCUCUUAAACCUAUUUGUUUGUUAGAUAUUCCUUGUCAGUGCACUAUUUGGGAUUCGAGCCUUUCUUGCAGAUUCUAAUUUGGACUCCAACUGUAUGAAGCACCAUGUAAAUUUGGUGUUCAGCUGUCUUCCAUAUAUUUUCAUGCAAUUAAUGGAUUUCUCCUUCCCUCUUGGACUGAGGGAAGAUAAUAAUUGAGAAUAUCUGACUCUCACUGUAGGAAGUGAUGUUCAGGGAAAAUGGGGCUUCUUUUGAACUAAUGCUAUUUUUUUUAUUUGUGCAAACAAAAACCUGACCAAACUGAGCCUUUGCACCAGCAGUGAACUUGAGAGUGUGCCACCAGAUGCCAAGUAUAGACGCAAUACAAGAGGAUAUGGGCAAAAGCGAGGCCUGUUGAAACCCAUCAGAAAGAUUGACUGGCACCCUGGGUAAGGAUGACGGACCCCAGGAUCCACAUUUUCCAACAUGGAUGUUGGAGCACACAAUGUUGUGGAGAACCACAGUGUUUUGGAUCAACUUUUGUUAUGGAAAUAUUUCCAAACGUGAGUAGCCUUUUUUUUUAAUUUUAAUUAUUAUUAAAAUUAUUUAAAAUCUGUAGGUAAAUAUUUAUUUCUGGCUAGAAAUUACUUGACACUUAAGAU
rnacentral:lncRNA from 1 species